GACGACGGUGACCGCGGCGAUGGUCGGUCUGGCGCUGUCGGCGCUGGCGAAGUCCAACGAGCAGAUCAUGCCGCUGCUCGUCGUCGCC
rnacentral:tRNA from 1 species